AUUGGCUGAAGCAUCAUUAUUUGGUGCAUGACUGUAGAACUUUAAGCAAUGAUGAAAAUGCUCUAUAUCCACACUAUCCAAUAUGGUUCUGCUUGAAUUCUUGCCCUGGCUCUUGGUGAAGGAUCGGCCUGCUGGAUCUGAGUCAUCCACCUAUAAGAGGGACAACACCACACAUUGGUCGCUGCUCUCAAGCCCCUGGAAUACCACCCCACUUGGCUUCUCCUGGUAACAGUGGCUGCCUUUGCUUGCCUGUCUCCAACUCCUCCCAAGAGCAUUGCUGACUGUGAGCUGUACCUUUGAAUCUGCAGGGGCCCUUCCCAUCUGUCUAAUAUUUGCUAUCAGUGAAACAGAAAAACCCUUGGGACACUGUCAGGGAGCAUUCUGGCCCGCAAAAUGCCUACCAACCACCAUGCCGUUCUCAUUCUUGCCAUUAGCAACCUUCUCUUUCUCUACAUCAUCAGCGUCCUAUGUGCACUCAUUCUAGAGGGCCAAUAAUUCUCACAGAUUACCAGUGUAGACUUAAAUUAUUUUUAUUAUAAUAUCACAGUACAAGUAAAAAGUAUAUGGCUGUGGUUUUUGUUCAGUUAUAAAGUUCAAAUAAACUUUCUAGAUUAAAUACAAACAAACUACAACACUGAUCAAAAUAAAAGCAGCAACAUUAAUUUAAUGUGGCAAUGUCUUGUGGAAAGCAAAUUGCCAGUGUUGAAACAGUAGAAAGUUCUUAAUGUUGGUUUUUUACUGGUUGUAUUUCCGCAUUUUAAAUUUAGUAACACUUAACACAGAGAAUGCUGUAUAUAAAAUCAUAUAUAUAUAUAUACAUACAAAAUCAUGGUCCACUGCAGCCUUGAACUCCUGAGCUCAAGUGAUCCUCCUGCCUCAGCCUUUGGAGUAGCUGGGACUACAGGCACAUGCCACCACACUCAGCUAAUUUUUAAAAUUUUUUUGUAGAGAUGGGCUCUCACUAUAGCCCUGUUCUGGAACUCCUGGGCUCAAGCCAUCCUCCCACUUUGGCCUCCCCAAAAUGCUGGGAUUACAGGCGUGAACCACCGCAUCUAGCCUAAAAUUAUAUUGUUAAAAGACUUUGUUUCUCAGUUUGGGAUAAUCAGAAUUCAUAGUUCUGAUCUCGACUACCAGUUUUAAUGAGGUACUUCUUUCUAACUCCAUCAGCUGUGUGGCUAUCUGCAGAUACCACCCACAUAAACAAAAACUUUUUGGGAGUCCUCCAGAAUUUUUAAGAGUUAUCUAAACUAUUGCCUUUAAUGACCAGGAACUCCAAUUUGAGAAGUUACCCUACGUUAAGCCAACAGCAGCCUGGCUCCUUCAUCCUGUGCAGUAUGGGACAGAGCUGGGUCCUUGUUGUCAUCAGCCAGACAAGCACACAUUAAAGCCCACCUUAGCCAUUGGCAUUACAGCUUUAAAAGCAGCUCCAUCCUACCAUGCUGUCACUCUACUCAAUCACGUGAUCUUAACGACCAGCUCUACAUAUCCUCUCUCCAUGCCCCCACCACCAUCCCCCACCAACAAAUCCGGUAAUCUAUCUCUGUCAAUAGUCCUGCAGUGAAUUCCGAAUAAGUUUUUCUCUUCCCUGGCCUGCCGUUUACGUAGUACCCUGGAUGAAUCUAUACUUACUCCAUAGUAAGUAGUACCUUGGAUGAAUCUAUACUUGCAUCCAAUGGAAAUGAGAGUGAUGGUGCAGAGUUAUCCGAAGUAACUCCAGCUAUGUUGUGGAUCUUCUAAUCAUGGGCUCAUCUAAGCCUUCCCAGAUAUCACUCUAGUUUUUACAAUCUUUGUUUAUGACAAUUAGGGCUGUAACAUUGGCUGUAGACAUUUGUUGCAUCAAGGAACUCAGCUUCCACUGAAGUUCUGAAGUUAAUCAGUUUCUGAUCUUGUUCUGCAACUCUCUGCAAGAAGAAAAAUCACCAGGAAAUAGUGCAUCCUGAAAGGAGUCAAAGUUUCCUUAUCCAGCUGGAGCAGUGUGAUCUCGGACCAGAGUCAAUUCCUUGCCCAACAGACUUCACAUUGAGCCAUGAGAAGCAGCCUACUUACCCUUACCUGGACACUUCUCCAAAACCUGUGAAAUGGCCUCUGUCACUGCCUCAAAGCCUCAUCCUUGGUGGGCAACUCACCUGGAUCCUGAGACCAAAAUAUAGAGCUUAAUGAACUGCU
ensembl:lncRNA LINC02020 long intergenic non-protein coding RNA 2020